rnacentral:rRNA from 1 species
AACGAACGCUGGCGGCGUGCCUAACACAUGCAAGUCGAACGAGACCUUCGGGUCUAGUGGCGCACGGGUGCGUAACGCGUGGGAACCUGCCUUUAGGUUCGGAAUAAACUCAGAGAAAUUUGAGCUAAUACCGGAUAAUGUCUUCGGACCAAAAGAUUUAUCGCCUUUAGAUGGGCCCGCGUAAGAUUAGCUAGUUGGUGGGGUAAAGGCCUACCAAGGCGACGAUCUUUAGCUGGUCUGAGAGGAUGAUCAGCCACACUGGGACUGAGACACGGCCCAGACUCCUACGGAGGCAGCAGUGGGGAAUAUUGGACAAUGGCGAAAGCCUGAUCCAGCAAUGCCGCGUGAGUGAUGAAGGCCUUAGGGUUGUAAAGCUCUUUUACCCGAGAUGAUAAUGACAGUAUCGGGAGAAUAAGCUCCGGCUAACUCCGUGCCAGCAGCCGCGGUAAU